GAUGAACGCUGGCUACAGGCUUAACACAUGCAAGUCGAGGGGAAACGACGGGGAAGCUUGCUUCCCCGGGCGUCGACCGGCGCACGGGUGAGUAACGCGUAUCCAACCUGCCUCUGACUGAGGGAUAACCCGUCGAAAGUCGGCCUACUACCUCAUGGCAUCGUCUGCGGGCAUCCAACGACGAUUAAAGAUUUCAUCGGUCAGGGAUGGGGAUGCGUCUGAUUAGCUUGUUGGCGGGGUAACGGCCCACCAAGGCUACGAUCAGUAGGGGUUCUGAGAGGAAGGUCCCCCACAUUGGAACUGAGACCCGGUCCAAACGCCUACGGGAGGUAGCAGUGAGGAAUAUAGGUCAAUGGGCGGGAGCCUGAACCAGCCAAGUAGUGUGCAGGAUGACGGCCCUAUGGGUUGUAAUCUGCUUUUAUGCGGGGAUAAAGUGAGGGACGUGUCCUUCAUUGCAGGUACCGUAUGAAUAAGGACCGGCUAAUUCCGUG
rnacentral:rRNA from 1 species